UUUACACGACUGCCGAUUUGACUUACCAACAGAGGCUCGAGUCUCCGAAGUCGGUAAUUCAGCAACACAUCGACCGCACUGCGUUCCAGAUUCCGUCUUUAUCGGCAAGAGUGACCGCCUAGAGACGAAGCGUAUAGUGCUAUUUGCGUCAGAAACGGUAUUUCAUACCGAAAAAUAAACUCAAUACGUCGCGAAGAAAAUGACAAAAUUUUCAAGACAAAAUACGUAUGCUGCGAAGCCACUGAGGACCCGAUCGAAUCACUCACAGGUCGAACAUGUUGAAUCAUGAAUACGCAAUCAAAAAUCGCCAUGGACUGCGAAUCAGUCACGCAAUCAACGCACAAUACGAGCCCACAUAACGUGUGUACGAAACGUUGCCGAGCAACCGCGGCGAGUCUCUAAACGUAAACAUUGGACGUUCUGUCGUUCAGUCCGGCUUCCCGAGGUUCACAGAGUUAUAAACACGGAGAAAUGUCGUUCCGGGAUAUGCGGAAUUUCACCGAGAUGAUGCGAGUUCUCGGUUACCCGAGGCUGAUUUCUCUAACGAACUUUCGGGUGCCGAAUUUCCCCCUUGUCGCCGAAAUACUCAUCUGGCUUGUCAAGAGGUUUGAUCCCGACGCGGAUAUUCCAAGUGAACACAACGCGGAGCAAGAACGCGUGGCACUUGUUCGAAGAACAGCUGAGUUUAUGGCGGUGAAGGCAAACGUGAAACUGAACACGAAGAAGCUCUACCAAGCUGAUGGAUACGCGGUGAAGGAGUUACUGAAGAUGACGACACUGCUGUACGACGCCCAAAAUCGUAGCACGGAAAAGGCGAUCCUGAUGGGCGAUAGCAUGGAGAUAAGCGGGGCUAACUUCGACAUCUCGAACAGGAUAAGCGAGCUAAAAACUACGAGGCAGCUGGCUAGCCAGCUGACGAUAAACGGGGCGACGCUGUUCGACCUCCUGGGGCGGGAAGUCGAGCUGCGGGAGGCGAGGAACAGCAAAAUUUCGCGGCAGUUCGACACUUCGGAGAUCGAAGUGGCGAUGAAACACGUGAUAGAGAGCAUAGGACAGGAGAUAACUGACACGAGGAAGCAGAUCGAGAACAUAAAGGACACCGAGCAGACUCUGGAUGCGAAGAUCGAACGGCGGCGAACGGAGCUCAGCCGGAACGAGAAGCGUCUUCAAACCCUGAGGAAAGUGCGCCCCGCCUUUAUGGAGGAGUUUGAGAAACUCGAGGUCGAGCUUAAGGCCCUCUACGAGGAUUACCUCCAGAAGUUUCGCUACCUCGCUUACCUCGAACACCUCCACGAAGACGCCGCCAAGGCCGAGCAGGAGAGGUUCGAACGAAGGCAAGCCGCGACGAAGAAACAGCUCGAACAACUGAGAGGGGAAGACGUUACGCUGGAGGGACUCCUCGACGGAAGUGACUCGAUAUUCAAUUCGAACCAGGAAACGAUCGGCCACAAUUUGGCCGACGCCGAGAAGCAGCUUCAGGAACGAAUCGGCCAGGGGGUGCGGAUCAAGACCGGUAAGAAUUGGCCGGAAGCGACGGAGAACCAUCUGUAUGAUUUCAAGUCCGAAUCACUCUUGACUGAACUGCAAACCAGCAUGGACGGCGGAUCAUCCCGAGGAAACGCUCAAGCGUUGCAGCGUCGCGUUUACGGAAGCAUGUCAGGACGACAGCGCGCGGGAGUUGGAACGGCCCUGGAUUUGAACGAUAGCGUCGGCUCGUUGGACAGCGACAGCGAUCUCUUCAUCGACGGAGACUUGGAAGACGACGACGACCUCCUGAACUCGGAGGGGGACCUUGAGCUGGGAGUAUUGCACCCGAAAAGCAAACAGGAAAAGAGAUCGGUCAGCAAGAUAGAUCAUUCGGACGAAGAUUUUUGAGCGAAGAAUGAUUAAACGAGAAUAAUUCUUUCGGUUGUAUCGAAGCGGAUGGGAUGUUUACUCGAUACGGUUGAAAUCUGACCGAAAAUCCGGUUGUUAUUCGGUGUACGGAUCGGGGAUUCCUGUCAUCACUCGCAACGUCAGUCAAGGCUGAAUUGGAGUUUUUUGAAUCGCGGGAAAUACGCAUAACACAAACCGCGGGCAUUCUCUGAACUCGAAUCUGAUUCAUCGAUCUUAAUUAGCUGCAAAACGCGAUUCGCAACGCCGUGAGUGAUUCGCGCUUUCGCAAUUAUAUGCUCGAUAAUGAUGAUAACGCCGAGUGGAGACUUCCGUUUCAGAUAUAUUUUGUAUAAGGAUAUAUACCUAUAUGUAUAUACACACCUAAUUCUGUUUUUGUCACACGGAGAUUGAAUCCAAGUGAAAAAAGUUUCGGGACCAAUUGAUCCAGCGAUAUUUCAGAUCGAAGAUUCUGGUGUUUUUUCCUUCCUCAUAUCUGAGCAGAUACCAAGGGAUAACAACCGAACUGAAUUUAAAAAUAUUGGAUCUAAAUAAUUACGACUUAUCGUAAUAUACUGAUUUAUUUUUCGAUAUAAGUAUCCUUUGGCAUUGACGCUAUCGCGAAAAUGCGUACCUAGUUGGUAGAAUACAAUGUUACGUAUGUGUUUUAUUGUUACACGCAUAAUUCGUACUCGUGUCGGCAUUGUGUGCGUAAACUUGUGUACCUAUGACGUGUAAGUUAUACGCGAAACGGAUGAACGUUACUUUCGAUAAAGAAAAAUGAAAAAUUUUUUAUUCGUAGAUUCGACUUAUACGUUGUAUUGUGUAAUAAUAAUAUACAAAUCUAUAUAUAUACACCUGCCUAGAUGCACAUAUAUACAUGUAAUAUUGAUUAUUAUGUAAUUAGGUACUUUUAUAUAUAUAUUCUAUAAUAUAUGUAUACAUAGUAUUGUGGUAAGACUAAAAUCACACAAAAAUAAAUUGUACAAGUUUAAAGAUGUAUUAUAUAUAUACAACCGGGUGUCUUAAGAACUAGAAAAACAAGAUCCCGAGUUAUUAUUAUUAUCAUUAUUAUUAUAUUACAUACAAUAUAAUAAUAAUAAUUACAUCGUUAUCGGAAUUUUUUCAUUCACCUAAACAUUUGUCAUCACUUUUUCUUAAACAACAAUCAUUGGUAACAUAAGGCAAACCUCGAAAUGUGUGCCUGGAAGGGAAGAAAAUUUUUUAACCAAUCACUAACAAAUAUUAUCCAUAAUAAUAAAUAUUAUUCAUUUGAAAGUUGAAUAAUUAGGAAAAAACAGCUCACAUUUUUCGUUACUAUUAACUAUUUAAUGAUGUAUUUUUUCAAUUUUCCAUGUUAUGUAGAUAUGCGUCCGUGUUGCUUACCUCGUAUUGGCUUUACUUAAAAACAUGUAAUAAUUUACAUUCGUCUAUUUGUUUUUUCAUUUAUGC
rnacentral:misc_RNA from 1 species